rnacentral:tRNA from 1 species
GGAGACGUGGGUGAGUGGCUGAAACCAGCGGUUUGCUAAACCGCCGUACUGGGAUUACUGGUACCGAGGGUUCGAAUCCCUCCGUCUCCGCCA